rnacentral:piRNA from 1 species
CACCGCCGAACUUCGUCCUUGCGCUCGUU